ACAACGCGUUCUUAAAAAAAAAACUCAAAAUCGAAUAUCGAACGAAGCACAACCCUAAGCUUUCGCGCCUUUUCGAACUGUCACUCAAGUGCAUUCAAAAGGAAUUGAAGCAAGACGAAGCAAUAAUAUCGUGUUAUUAGUUAUUUAAUGAACGAGUGAUUAAUUAUCAAUUAAUAAGCUCGUUUUUAACUGUGGUUCCGAGUCGUUGUUGUCGGUUUGAAGUUAUGUCAAGAAUGAUCUUCAAUUAAAUAAGUUCAAUUAUAGUGUUAAAUAAUUUGUUAUAAUUGAAUAAUAAAAUUGUUGUCGUUGAUUUUAACAACGAGAAAGGCAAUAACUGUUAAGUUUCGUGUUUUUGAAAUAAAAUUAAAAAAAUAUCGAUAAAGUAACCUACUGACCUAAGAA